rnacentral:rRNA from 1 species
CCGAAACCAGGUGAUCUAUCCAUGAGCAGGUUGAAGCUUAGGUAAAACUAAGUGGAGGACCGAACCGUAGUACGCUAAAAAGUGCCCGGAUGACUUGUGGAUAGCGGUGAAAUUCCAAUCGAACCUGGAGAUAGCUGGUUCUCUUCGAAAUAGCUUUAGGGCUAGCGUAUAGUAUUGUUUAAUGGGGGUAGAGCACUGAAUGUGGAAUGGCGGCAUCUAGCUGUACUGACUAUAAUCAAACUCCGAAUACCAUUAAAAUUAAGCUAUGCAGUCGGAACGUGGGUGAUAACGUCCACGCUCGCGAGGGAAACAACCCAGAUCGUCAGCUAAGGUCCCAAAAUUGUGUUAAGUGAGG